rnacentral:rRNA from 1 species
AGAGUUUGAUCCUGGCUCAGAGCGAACGUUAGCGGCGGGCUUAACACAUGCAAGUCGAGCGAGAAAGGGACUUCGGUCCCGAGUACAGCGGCGGACGGGUGAGAAAUACAUAGGUAACCUGCCCUUCAGUGGAGGACAACGGUCCGAAAGGACCGCUAAUACUGCAUACGUUCCUCGGGACUCCGGUCCUGAGGAGGAAAGCCUCGCCAGGGGCGCUGAAGGAGGGGCCUGUGUCGCAUCAGCUAGUUGGUGGGGUAACGGCUCACCAAGGCGAAGACGCGUAGCUGGUCUGAGAGGAUGAUCAGCCACACUGGGACUGAGACACGGCCCAGACUCCUACGGGAGGCAGCAGUGGGGAAUAUUGGACAAUGGGGGCAACCCUGAUCCAGCCACGCCGCGUGAGUGAUGAAGGCCUUCGGGUCGUAAAGCUCUGUGGGGAGGGACGAACGUCCGGGUGAAGAAUCCGGGGUGACGGUACCUCCUUAGCAAGCACCGGCUAACUUCGUGCCAGCAGCCGCGGUAAUACGAAGGGUGCAAACGUUGCUCGGAAUCAUUGG